UAAUACGGAGGGUGCAAGCGUUAUCCGGAUUCACUGGGUUUAAAGGGUGUGUAGGCGGGCUAUUAAGUCAGUGGUGAAAUCUCCGAGCUUAACUUGGAAACUGCCAUUGAUACUAUUAGUCUUGAAUUCUGUUGAGGUUGGCGGAAUAUAUCAUGUAGCGGUGAAAUGCAUAGAUAUGAUAUAGAACCCCGAUUGCGAAGGCAGCUAACUAAGCAGAUAUUGACGCUGAGGCACGAAAGCGUGGGGAUCAAACAGG
rnacentral:rRNA from 1 species